AUGGACAGCAAUCCCGUCGAGCUCCGCCUGCCGACGUCCGCGGCCCUGGCCGCCGCCGACGUUGGCGAGUGCCUGUUCCCCGCACUCACCACGCUCGACCUCUGCGGCUACUACACCCACGACGGCCUCGCCGCCCUUCUCCCCCACUGUCCCCUCCUGCGCGUGCUCCGGUACGCCGUCCGUUACCGCCGGCCCUGUGACGAGGUCGAGGACUACGCCAUCACCGUCAAGUCCCCGACGCUGCGCGAGCUCCUUGUGGAGGAAAGCGGUGUGAAUUAUGUACGCCGCAUCGACAUCGCGACCCCUGCGCUCGAGCAGCUCACCGUGUCCUUCGAGGCCCGCGAGGACCUCACCGUGUCCGUGCAGGCGCCGAUGGCGGAGAAGGUCUCGUGGAGCUGCCGGUAUGGUGGCAGCUGGUUUACAGGGUUUGGUUGUUGGGAAAUUGAGAAGGUGAGCUUAUUCUCGCCGUCACCAUCGCCGGUGCCGACAGCAGAGACACGGCGACCUAAGCUGCUGCACAUUGAUGCUUGCAAAGGACCGGGGAAUGACUGGUUAUUUACAGCCGACGAUUACCCGGCCGAUCACUUGGAGCAAGAGUUAGAGAAGCAUCUGCAGCAGCAGGUUGCCGCCGACUUGUCCGCCAUUGAUUUGGAAGUGCAUCUCACGUCUCUAGGCCACGUCUAUGGAGCAUUCGUGUUGCAUCUCCUCGGGACGCGUCCAGUUCGCACCGCUGCGCGCAGCUUCAAGCUUGCGCUACUCAUGCCUGAACGCAAGGAGGCUGUGGAGGGAUGCAAAACUUUCACCUUGACGGAAGUCCCCCCCCCAUGGAGGGCUGUUAUUGCCAGCCCAGCUGGAGAAACCAAGCUAUCUGCUCGACGGAGCUUGAAGAAGUGGAAAUCGACGGCUUCCGAGGAGACAAUCAUGAGUUCGGUUUCCUGGAGAUGGUGUUCAGAUGUGCGCCGAUGCUUAGAAGAAUGA
rnacentral:rRNA from 1 species